rnacentral:rRNA from 1 species
GACGAACGCUGGCGGCGUGCUUAACACAUGCAAGUCGAACGAAGUGGCGAACGGGUGAGUAACGCGUAAUCAAACUGCCCUUCAGAGGGGGACAACAGUUGGAAACGACUGCUAAUACCGCAUACUGAAGGAGGGGAUUGCGUCUGAUUAGCUGGUUGGAGGGGUAACGGCCCACCAAGGGGAUGAUCAGUAGGCGGUCUGGGAGGAGUGACGGCCCCAUUUGGACUGGCACACGGCCCAGACACCCACGGGAGGCAGCAGUGGGGGAUCUUCCGAAAUUGACGAAAGUCUGACGGCACAACGCCGCGUGAGUGAUGACGGCCUUCGGGUUGUAAAGCUCUGUUAAUCGGGACACGGUACCGGAAUAGAAAGCCACGGCUAACUACGUGCCAGCAGCCGCGGUAAUAC